CGCGUAGGUGGUAGUGAAAGUCUAUGGUGGAAUCUUAGGGCUUAACCCUAAAACUGCCUUGGAAACUUCAUUACUUGAGUCAGUGAGGGGAGGGUAGAAUUCCUGGUGUAGCGGUGAAAUGCGUAGAUAUCAGGAGGAAGGCCGGUGGCGAAGGCGGCCCUCUGGCGCUGAACUGACGCUGAGGCGCGAAAGCGUGGGUAGCAAACAGGAUUAGAUACCCUGGCAGUCCACGCCCUAAACGGUGGGUACUAGGUGUAGGGCUCGUAAGGGUUCUGUGCCGAAGGGAAACCAUUAAGUACCCCGCCUGGGGAGUACGGCCGCAAGGUUGAA
rnacentral:rRNA from 1 species